rnacentral:rRNA from 1 species
AACGAACGCUGGCGGCAUGCCUAACACAUGCAAGUCGAACGAGACCUUCGGGUCUAGUGGCGCACGGGUGCGUAACGCGUGGGAAUCUGCCCCUGGGUUCGGAAUAACAGUUAGAAAUGACUGCUAAUACCGGAUAAUGUCUUCGGACCAAAGAUUUAUCGCCCAGGGAUGAGCCCGCGUAGGAUUAGCUAGUUGGUGAGGUAAAGGCUCACCAAGGCGACGAUCCUUAGCUGGUCUGAGAGGAUGAUCAGCCACACUGGGACUGAGACACGGCCAGACUCCUACGGGAGGCAGCAGUGGGGAAUAUUGGACAAUGGGCGAAAGCCUGAUCCAGCAAUGCCGCGUGAGUGAUGAAGGCCUUAGGGUUGUAAGCUCUUUUACCCGGGAUGAUAAUGACAGUACCGGGAGAAUAAGCCCCGGCUAACUCCGUGCCAGCAGCCGCGGUAAU